GGAGCUUGCUCCCUGAUGUUAGCGGCGGACGGGUGMGUMACAYGUGGGUAACCUGCCUGUAAGACUGGGAUAACUCCGGGAAACCGGGGCUAAUACCGGAUGGUUGUUUGAACCGCAUGGUUCAAACAUAAAAGGUGGCUUCGGCUACCACUUACAGAUGGACCCGCGGCGCAUUAGCUAGUUGGUGAGGUAACGGCUCACCAAGGCAACGAUGCGUAGCCGACCUGAGAGGGUGAUCGGCCACACUGGGACUGAGACACGGCCCAGACUCCUACGGGAGGCAGGCAGUAGGGAAUCUUCCGCAAUGGACGAAAGUCUGACGGGAGCAACGCCGCGUGAGUGAUGAAGGUUUUCGGAUCGUAAAGCUCUGUUGUUAGGGAAGAACAAGUACCGUUCGAAUAGGGCGGUACCUUGACGGUACCUAACCAGAAAGCCACGGCUAACUACGUGCCAGCAGCCGCGGUAAUACGUAGGUGGCAAGCGUUGUCCGGAAUUAUUGGGCGUAAAGGGCUCGCAGGCGGUUUCUUAAGUCUGAUGUGAAAGCCCCCGGCUCAACCGGGGAGGGUCAUUGGAAACUGGGGAACUUGAGUGCAGAAGAGGAGAGUGGAAUUCCACGUGUAGCGGUGAAAUGCGUAGAGAUGUGGAGGAACACCAGUGGCGAAGGCGACUCUCUGGUCUGUAACUGACGCUGAGGAGCGAAAGCGUGGGGAGCGAACAGGAUUAGAUACCCUGGUAGUCCACGCCGUAAACGAUGAGUGCUAAGUGUUAGGGGGUUUCCGCCCCUUAGUGCUGCAGCUAACGCAUUUAAGCACUCCGCCUGGGGAGUACGGUCGCAAGACUGAAACUCAAAGGAAUUGACGGGGGCCCGCACAAGCGGUGGAGCAUGUGGUUUAAUUCCAAGCAACGCGAAGAACCUUACCAGGUCUUGACAUCCUCUGACAAUCCUAGAGAUAGGACGUCCCCUUUCGGGGGGCAGAGUGACAGGUGGUUGCAUGGUGUCGUCAGCUCGUGUCCGUGAGAUGUGGGGCUUAAAGUCCCGCAAACGAGCGCAAACC
rnacentral:rRNA from 1 species